UCCGUGUUCACCACGGCAGUCUCCUUAGAGUGCCCAACUGAAUGCUGGCAACUAAGGACAAGGGUUGCGCUCGUUGCGGGACUUAACCCAACAUGUCACCACACGAGCUGACGACAGCCAUGCAGCACCUGUCUCUCUGCUUACUUGCGUAAGAAGCCCUAUCUCUAGGGAUGUCAGAGGAUGUCAAAUCCAGGUAAGGUUCUUCGCGUUGCUUCGAAUUAAACCACAUGAUCCACCGCUUGUGCGGGCCCCCGUCAAUUCCUUUGAGUUUUAGUCUUGCGACCGUACUUCCCAGGCGGGGUACUUAUUGCGUUAGCUCCGGUUCAGCAGGGGUCAAGACCCGCCAAACCUAGUACCCAUCGUUUACAGCGUGGACUAC
rnacentral:misc_RNA from 1 species